rnacentral:lncRNA from 1 species
CUGAUUAAUGGAUGUUCUUUUAGGAAGCAUUGUUUUGAAAUAAAAACAAUGUUGCUAAUCUUAAAGUAUCCAUUGAUGACCUGAUUUUCUCAUCAAGUGAAACACGUGUGUUGAAAUAACCACGUGUGAUUCUAGGCCUACUGUACCACCAGAUUCUGCUGGCCAUUCUCCCAUCAGCCCAUUAGCUGAUGCCCAUUAAAGCAACAUAAAUUCAAUAACCACUAUUAAAAAACUUUUAUUUUGUAUAUCAGAGAGUGACACUUAAAAAAGGAAAACAUAAAUUUUACAAAGACAGUUUCUAUAAAUUUGCACAAAAAGAGUUUCCAAAAGAGAUUUCAGUUAUUUUUCUCAUUUGGAGAAUGAUACUGUUUCUCAUGCAUAAAACUUCAGAUCUUCCCUCUUAUCCCAGUUUGGAAGUUUUCUCUGUUUGCAAGAUACUGAGAGUGAAGCCGUGAGCUUAUUCCACAGAGCUUCUGCCUCAGCGAAGCUCUGGGGCCCUGCGUCUAUUUUGGAUCUAACAUCUGUUCAGCACAUGAGGCUUGGUCCCACUUCACUUUUCCAAUUUAGUUUCACUGUAUUUCUUGGUAGAACCACCCACUUGGAUCUGCUCAAUGACUUAUGGCUGAAUUCCUCACCAGCAUGGGGAUGUUUUCCCCCUCGACACAUCUGGAAUAAAAAUGGAUUUGAAAUGUUGUGGAUUCUGCAAAACUGGCAUUGACUGGUCUCCUGACAAAGCUGAAGGGCAAGAUAAUUUGAUUUUGGACCACAAAGUCUUUGGACUUCAACCUGCAAUGAGAUUUAAUGUUCGAUUCUUCUUGGAAAUUUGAAAUUGAAAGAAGGGUUUACAUUAAAAUCUAGGGAUCUCAAUUGUCAUGAGUUGAACUGUGUCCUUCUCAAAAUUCACAUGAAGCUCUAACUCCCAGUACCUCAGAAUGUGACUGUAUUUAGAAAUAGGGCCUUUAAAGAGGUAAUUAAGUUGAUGAGGUGGUUAGGGUGGGCCCUAAUCAGGUCUGAUUGGAGUCCUUAUAACAAGAAAUUAGGACACAGACAGGUGCAGAGGUAAAGCAGCGUGAAGACAAGAAGACAGCCAUCUGCAAUUCGAGGAGAGAUCUCAGAAGAAACCAAUCCUGCUAACACUUUGAUCUCAGAAUUCUAGCCUCUACAAUGGUGAGAAAAUAAAUUUUUGUUGCUUAAAAUCUGUGGUGCUUUG